rnacentral:rRNA from 1 species
UACGUAGGGUGCAAGCGUUGUCCGGAAUUAUUGGGCGUAAAGAGCUCGUAGGCGGUUUGUCGCGUCUGCUGUGAAAACCUAGGGCUUAACCCUGGGCCUGCAGUGGGUACGGGCAGACUAGAGUGCGGUAGGGGAGACUGGAAUUCCUGGUGUAGCGGUGAAAUGCGCAGAGUAUCAGGAGGAACACCGGUGGCGAAGGCGGGUCUCUGGGCCGUAACUGACGCUGAGGAGCGAAAGCAUGGGGAGCGAACAGG